rnacentral:rRNA from 1 species
GAUGAACGCUGGCGGCGUGCUUAACACAUGCAAGUCGAACGGAAAGGCCCAAGCUUGCUUGGGUACUCGAGUGGCGAACGGGUGAGUAACACGUGGGUGAUCUGCCCUGCACUUCGGGAUAAGCCUGGGAAACUGGGUCUAAUACCGGAUAGGACCACAUUUUGGAUGGUGUGGUGGAAAGUUUUUCGGUGUGGGAUGAGCUCGCGGCCUAUCAGCUUGUUGGUGGGGUAAUGGCCUCCCAAGGCGUCGACGGGUAGCCGGCCUGAGAGGGUGUACGGCCACAUUGGGACUGAGAUACGGCCCAGACUCCUACGGGAGGCAGCAGUGGGGAAUAUUGCACAAUGGGCGCAAGCCUGAUGCAGCGACGCCGCGUGGGGGAUGACGGCCUUCGGGUUGUAAACUCCUUUCGCUAGGGACGAAGCGCAAGUGACGGUACCUGGAGAAGAAGCACCGGCUAACUACGUG